rnacentral:rRNA from 1 species
UACGUAGGUGACAAGCGUUGUCCGGAUUUACUGGGCGUAAAGAGCGCGCAGGCGGUCGGAUAAGUCGAAUGUGAAAGCCCCCGGCUCAACUGGGGAGGGUCAUUCGAUACUGUUCGACUCGAAGGCAGGAGAGGGAAGUGGAAUUCCCGGUGUAGUGGUGAAAUGCGUAGAUAUCGGGAGGAACACCAGUGGCGAAGGCGGCAUCCUGGACCGGUAUUGACGCUGAGGCGCGAAAGCUAGGGGAGCAAACGGG